rnacentral:tmRNA from 1 species
UAAUAGCACUCUGCAUCGCCUAACAGCAUCUCCUACGUGCUGUUAACGCGAUUCAACCCUAGUAGGAUAUGCUAAACACUGCCGUUUGAAGUCUGUUUAGAUGAAAUUUAAUCAAACUAGCAUAAUACUGGUUGUCUGUUGCUUACUAUUAUGCGAAAUUCAUCAAUAGACUACACACGUAGAAAGAUGUGUAUCAGGACCUCUGGACGCGGGUUCGAAUCCCGCCGUCUCCAUUA